AUUGAACGCUGGCGGCAUGCCUUACACAUGCAAGUCGAACGGUAACGCGCCUUCGGGUGCCGACGAGUGGCGAACGGGUGAGUAAUACAUCGGAACGUGCCCGAUCGUGGGGGAUAACGAGGCGAAAGCUUUGCUAAUACCGCAUACGAUCUACGGAUGAAAGCAGGGGACCUCAAGGCCUUGCGCGGACGGAGCGGCCGAUGGCAGAUUAGGUAGUUGGUGGGAUAAAAGCUUACCAAGCCGACGAUCUGUAGCUGGUCUGAGAGGAUGAUCAGCCACACUGGGACUGAGACACGGCCCAGACUCCUACGGGAGGCAGCAGUGGGGAAUUUUGGACAAUGGGCGCAAGCCUGAUCCAGCCAUGCCGCGUGCAGGAUGAAGGCCUUCGGGUUGUAAACUGCUUUUGUACGGAACGAAAAGCCUUCUUUUAAUACAGGAGGGUCAUGACGGUACCGUAAGAAUAAGCACCGGCUAACUACGUG
rnacentral:rRNA from 1 species